rnacentral:rRNA from 1 species
UCCAGCAGCCAUAUCACCCUGCAACUCACAACUGGCAACCCACUGAAGCUAAGCGGGUGUGAGCCUGGUCAGUACCUGGAUGGGAAACACUAAGGUUGCUGCUGGAA